rnacentral:rRNA from 1 species
AUUGAACGCUGGCGGCAUGCUUUACACAUGCAAGUCGAACGGCAGCGCGGGCUUCGGCCUGGCGGCGAGUGGCGAACGGGUGAGUAAUGCAUCGGAACGUGCCCAGUAGUGGGGGAUAGCCCGGCGAAAGCCGGAUUAAUACCGCAUACGACCUGAGGGUGAAAGCGGGGGACCGAAAGGCCUCGCGCUAUUGGAGCGGCCGAUGUCGGAUUAGCUAGUUGGUGGGGUAAAGGCCUACCAAGGCGACGAUCCGUAGCUGGUCUGAGAGGACGACCAGCCACACUGGGACUGAGACACGGCCCAGACUCCUACGGGAGGCAGCAGUGGGGAAUUUUGGACAAUGGGGGCAACCCUGAUCCAGCCAUGCCGCGUGCGGGAAGAAGGCCUUCGGGUUGUAAACCGCUUUUGUUCGGGAAGAAAACCUCUGGGCUAAUACCCCGGGGGGAUGACGGUACCGGAAGAAUAAGCACCGGCUAACUACGUG